CUAGGAUUCAAAAUGGGAGCUCUCUGGGAAAAAACAGAAUGUGGUUCAGUAGCAGGUGCACUGCUGUGUACUUAGCUUUGGAGUUGCAAGACCAGGAAGAACUGGGCAGCUGGCUGUGCUGCAGGAAAGGAUGGAGGAGCUGCGUGGGUCCCAAGUGGAUUGGGAGUCUGUAACAUCUUGCUGUGGAACAAGAAGGAAAGGCCAUGUGAGUCCCUAGAGGUGCACAUAAUGAUCCUGCUCCUGACAGAUCUUCAGCCACACAGGAUGCCUGUGAGGAAGUGUUGGCAACCCAGCCUUGGACUGAUUCAGCUGGUUUCCCUGCUGCUUGAAGCCUCACAGCCAACUUUGUCCUGA
rnacentral:lncRNA from 14 species